rnacentral:lncRNA from 1 species
AUGCCCAAGAGAAAGGCUGAAGGGGAUGCUAAAGGAGAUAAAGCCAAGGUAAGGGACGAACCACAGAGAAGAUCCACGAGGUUGUCUGCUAAACCUCCUCCUCCAAAGCCAGAGCGCAAGACUAAAAAGGUCCCUGCAAAGAGGGGAGAGAAGGUACCAAAAGGGAAAAAGGGGAAAGCUGAUGCUGGCAAGGAGGGGAAUAACCCUACAGAAAAUGGAGAUGCCAACAGACCAGGCACAGAAAGCUGAAGGUGCUGGAGAUGCCAGGGGA